CAGUCGCCGCGGUAAUGCGUAGGUGGCAAGCGUUGUCCGGAAUUAUUGGGCGUAAAGGGCUCGCAGGCGGUUUCUUAAGUCUGAUGUGAAAGCCCCCGGCUCAACCGGGGAGGGUCAUUGGAAACUGGGAAACUUGAGUGCAGAAGAGGAGAGUGGAAUUCCACGUGUAGAGGUGAAAUUCGUAGAUAUUCGGAAGAACACCAGUGGCGAAGGCGACACACUGGCCCAUUACUGACGCUGAGGCUCGAAAGCGUGGGGAGCAAACAGGAUUAGAGACCCCUGUAGUCCCUGUCUCUUAUAC
rnacentral:rRNA from 1 species